rnacentral:rRNA from 1 species
AUUGAACGCUGGCGGCAUGCCUUACACAUGCAAGUCGAACGGUAGAGGGCUUCGGCCCUUGAGAGUGGCGAACGGGUGAGUAAAGCAUCGGAACGUACCCUGUCGAGGGGGAUAACGUAGCGAAAGUUACGCUAAUACCGCAUAAGACCUGAGGGUGAAAGUGGGGGACUGGAAACGGCCUCACGCGAUGGGAGCGGCCGAUGUCGGAUUAGCUAGUUGGUGGGGUAAAGGCCUACCAAGGCGACGAUCCGUAGCGGGUCUGAGAGGAUGAUCCGCCACACUGGGACUGAGACACGGCCCAGACUCCUACGGGAGGCAGCAGUGGGGAAUUUUGGACAAUGGGCGCAAGCCUGAUCCAGCCAUGCCGCGUGGGUGAAGAAGGCCUCGGUUGUAAGCCUUCGUCCGGAGAAACGUAGCGGGCGAACAGUCUGCACGGAGUGACGGUACCGGAAGAAGAAG